UGAAAUCAUCUAGGAGAGAGGUGAUGAGGGUCUGGACUGUGAGAUUUCACACUAGCUGGCACACUCUGCCUCCUCAGGGCUUACUGGAACAUUGAGAUGAGGACCACAAAUUUCAUUAUCUCGCUCUCUAGCAUUUCCGGAAGUCACAUGUAGACCCAGGCACCCACGAAGUUGCACAUGAAUUCCUUUCUUCUCCUCCCUCUGUUUCCUCUUUAUCAUCCUCCUCCCCUUUCUAGAAAGCCGUUUUUCCUCUAGUGCCCUAGACUAGCAGUUCAAUAAUGAUACUGCCCUCUUCACGUUAGGUUUUCCUCUGUCCUGAGGUCUGGUACAGGGCAGAUGAAGAAAGAAGUGAAACAAGGAGCUGGGCUUAAGAAUCCCAGCGAAAGGAUGGGGAACUGUCUCCGAAGAAGAAGAUUCAGCUGGCCAAAGGACACUCAAGAGGAACACAGGAAGCCAAGAACUGGAACCCUAGAACAGAAAAAGUUCAGGCAAGUAAUAAAGAGAAGGAAGAAAGAGUUCCAUGAGGAAAGUGAAGAAGUUUCACCUUCUUACUACCAGGAAAGCCAUGAAGACCACGAAAAGGAGCCACUCUAUGCCCUCAUCACGCACAUGCCCCAACGAAUGCCUUCCAUAAACUCCACGGAGGAUGACUAUGAGAAUGUUGGCCCCAAGCAUAAGAGGACCAAACCGCCGGCUCCCAGGAAUGAGACUGAAUAUGCCGUCCUGAGGGUCCCUUCUAGCCCCCAGCCUUCCCACAGCUUCCAGGACGAGGAAUACGAACUUAUCAUGCCAUUACCCAUCCCACUUCAACCUGAUGAAUUGAAGGAACCUGAAUAUAUAGGAAUCUCUAAAAACAGAAAGUAA
rnacentral:lncRNA from 1 species